rnacentral:rRNA from 1 species
UUAAAUUGAAGAGUUUGAUCAUGGCUCAGAUUGAACGCUGGCGGCAGGCCUAACACAUGCAAGUCGAACGGUAACAGGAAGCAGCUUGCUGCUUUGCUGACGAGUGGCGGACGGGUGAGUAAUGUCUGGGAAACUGCCUGAUGGAGGGGGAUAACUACUGGAAACGGUAGCUAAUACCGCAUAACGUCGCAAGACCAAAGAGGGGGACCUUCGGGCCUCUUGCCAUCGGAUGUGCCCAGAUGGGAUUAGCUAGUAGGUGGGGUAACGGCUCACCUAGGCGACGAUCCCUAGCUGGUCUGAGAGGAUGACCAGCCACACUGGAACUGAGACACGGUCCAGACUCCUACGGGAGGCAGCAGUGGGGAAUAUUGCACAAUGGGCGCAAGCCUGAUGCAGCCAUGCCGCGUGUAUGAAGAAGGCCUUCGGGUUGUAAAGUACUUUCAGCGGGGAGGAAGGUGUUGAGGUUAAUAACCUCAGCAAUUGACGUUACCCGCAGAAGAAGCACCGGCUAACUCCGUGCCAGCAGCCGCGGUAAUACGGAGGGUGCAAGCGUUAAUCGGAAUUACUGGGCGUAAAGCGCACGCAGGCGGUCUGUCAAGUCGGAUGUGAAAUCCCCGGGCUCAACCUGGGAACUGCAUUCGAAACUGGCAGGCUAGAGUCUUGUAGAGGGGGGUAGAAUUCCAGGUGUAGCGGUGAAAUGCGUAGAGAUCUGGAGGAAUACCGGUGGCGAAGGCGGCCCCCUGGACAAAGACUGACGCUCAGGUGCGAAAGCGUGGGGAGCAAACAGGAUUAGAUACCCUGGUAGUCCACGCCGUAAACGAUGUCGACUUGGAGGUUGUGCCCUUGAGGCGUGGCUUCCGGAGCUAACGCGUUAAGUCGACCGCCUGGGGAGUACGGCCGCAAGGUUAAAACUCAAAUGAAUUGACGGGGGCCCGCACAAGCGGUGGAGCAUGUGGUUUAAUUCGAUGCAACGCGAAGAACCUUACCUACUCUUGACAUCCAGAGAACUUUCCAGAGAUGGAUUGGUGCCUUCGGGAACUCUGAGACAGGUGCUGCAUGGCUGUCGUCAGCUCGUGUUGUGAAAUGUUGGGUUAAGUCCCGCAACGAGCGCAACCCUUAUCCUUUGUUGCCAGCGGUCCGGCCGGGAACUCAAAGGAGACUGCCAGUGAUAAACUGGAGGAAGGUGGGGAUGACGUCAAGUCAUCAUGGCCCUUACGAGUAGGGCUACACACGUGCUACAAUGGCGCAUACAAAGAGAAGCGACCUCGCGAGAGCAAGCGGACCUCAUAAAGUGCGUCGUAGUCCGGAUUGGAGUCUGCAACUCGACUCCAUGAAGUCGGAAUCGCUAGUAAUCGUGGAUCAGAAUGCCACGGUGAAUACGUUCCCGGGCCUUGUACACACCGCCCGUCACACCAUGGGAGUGGGUUGCAAAAGAAGUAGGUAGCUUAACCUUCGGGAGGGCGCUUACCACUUUGUGAUUCAUGACUGGGGUGAAGUCGUAACAAGGUAACCGUAGGGGAACCUGCGGUUGGAUCACCUCCUUACCUUAAAGAA